UACGUAUAGCGGAUCCACUUUGUUAUACAGCAGAAACUAACACACCAUUGUAAAGCAAUUAUACUCCUAUAAAGAUAUUUUUAAAAAUAAUAUAAAUAAAUAAUAAAAAGUUAUUAGGACACUUUUCAUUGACUCUGGUAAAUAACCGGCAAGGUUGUCUCUGCUCUGUUGUUGAAUGCAGGGAGGAGGGUGUUGAUGAGGGUUUAAACGAAUACAGCCUCUCUGCAGGUCUGUUAGGCAAUAUGUCUCAUGUUUUUUAUUUAAAUUCUAUUUUCUUGUCGUAAGAACACUUAGCAUGAGACCCACUCGCUUAAUCUUUAAGUGUACGAUAUACAUUGCUGUUGACCCUGGGUGCAAGGUUGCACAGCAGACCCCCGGAGCUCACCCACCGUGCUUGACUGAAACGCCUAUUGGUCAGUGGCUCCCCAACCUCCUCCCCCAGCCCCUGGCAACCACCGUAUUCUACUCUUUGUUUUGAUAAGUGCCAAUCAAAACCACAACGAGGUGUCACCUCACACCAGCCAGAACGAGCUUCAUCAGAAAAUCUACAGUUUGUAGAUUUUUGUUUUGAUAAAUUCGCCUAUUUUAUUAGAUCCCCGUGCAAAUAGAAUCAUACAGUGUUUGUCUUUCUGUGUCUGACUUAUUUCACUUAGCACCACGUCUGCAAGUUUCAUCUGCCUUGUGGUAUAUGGAAGAAUUUCCUUCUUUUUUCAUGGCUGAAUGGUCUGCCGUUGUGUGAAUGUACCACACUUUCUUUACCUGUUCUUCUGUCGAUGGACGUUUAGGUUAUUUCCACAUGCUGGCUAUUGUGAAUAAUGCUGCAGUGAACAUGGGAGCACGGACAUCACCUCGAGAUCCUGAUUUCAGUUCGUUUAAAAAUGCUUUGCUUGUGAGCCGGUGAUUUUAUGGAGCUGUAUCAGAAGGCAACAAAGUGGAAACAUAUAAAUAUGUAAGGAUCCUCUUUGCAAAUGUAUUUGAAAGAGCAGUGAAUUGGAAAUAACAGAAAUGCCAAACCUUGAGGACGGGUAAAUAUGGGUGGUCCAUGCAGGGGCGGGCCCUUCCCGUCCUCAGGACUUUGGAGAGAUCCGCACCCAACAAUGGACACCAUCACAGGAGAAAAGAGCAGUUGUCAGCAAGAGAGCAUGUCCUCAUUUUUGUAAAUAUUCACAUAUAUAGAUACACAGAAAACAGACUGAGGGGACACACAUCAAGCUGAACAGAGGUUAUCUUUGGGGGCUAGAGGUGAGGUAGGAGUUUCACUUAGUACUUUAUAUGCCCCUUUAUUAUUUGAACUGUCUUUAGCGCGCAUAUGUGACUUUCAUUUGUCAGAGUAAAAACAAUAGAGUAUUUUCAUUUUGCACAAAACAGAAAUGAGAAUACAGGGCCAGGGCUGUGUUGUGCUUACAGGCUCUCGUAUUGGUAAGUUCCUUCCAUAACAUGCUCCAUUUAUAUAAAAUACCUGCUUCAUUCUUUCUUGUAUUCAGCAAACAUUUGAUUCCUAAAGCACAAAAGCACUAGGCUAGGAAUUGUGGAAAUUCAGAGACUAAUAAAUCAUGCCCUUUGCUGUGCAGAACUCAGAGGCAAACAGGGGAGCUGGGCACGGCAGCAGUGAGCUAAAACCAAGGGAGGGGGAGCUAAGGGUUGUCCCCUGCAUCUGGGCAGGAAGAGGGGCCGACUAACUGCCACCCAGGGGACUUCUGGGGUCUUCUGUGAGAAGUAGCAUUAAAGAGUGAGGCAGAUUUCAGCAGGGGCAGAAGAUUGAUAAAAGCGUUGGGAAAGGAAGGGCAUUCCAGGCUGAAAGGACAGCUUGAGAAAAGGCAAGGAAGCAGGGACCCAGUAGAGCACAGUCCAGCCCACAUGAGCCAUCUGUUCAAUGGGGCUGAAAGAAAUGCCCCUGGUUUUCCUUCUUUCACUUCUGUGUGCCUGGUGCCUAGCAUGGAGCUUGGUACUAAGUACCCAUGUGCUUGGAAGGGUGGACGGAUGGAUGGAUGGAUGGUUGGAUGGACAAAUGGAUGGAGGAAUGCAUGGAAGAAAGAAUGAACUAAAGAACAAAUGAACACAUAAGUCCAUGCAAAGUGCUGAAAACCAUACUAAUGUUAUCUCAUAACAUAGACAGACCCUCACAUCUAGUGAUGUGUCUCCUGUAGCUAAACACUUGAAACCUAGAGGAAUAUGUCCACGUCCUCCAAGAAUAACGUGAAAAUGUGUAUGCAUGUAAAUGAGAACUAUAGAGGAGCGUGGAAAAUAAACACACAUACACACACACACAUACACACAUACACAGACACACACCCCCCCAACACACACACACACACACCGUCAUUCGGUCACUUUUGAUUAUGUUCCUACCAAGUGCUUCUCCCUCAGCAAGGUGCAGAAGCCAAGGUGGGGACAGGGGCCCUGGGUUUCAUGGUAAGAGUCCUACUCAAUCUCUUUACAUCAGAACUUCCCUUCCCUCUGAAACAAUUUUCUGAGUCUAGUCACAUUACACGUGACCGACACAAUGAGAUUCAGAGACCAAAGCAGCCGCAGUGGAACGGAUGCUUUCUAAAAAAACCAAGAAAUCCAGGGCUCUGAUUCUGCCACUGGGGAACGCUUCCUGGCUACUGGUCACCAGAGAGGAUGGAGGGUAAAAUUAGCCCUGCCUAACUAAAAGUGGCCACGGCAUGUCCUGGUUCUAAGAAGGAAAACAGUGGUAGGUACAAGUUCUAGAGGGGAUGGAGGGUAAAAUUAGCCCUGCCUAACUAAAAGUGGCCACGGCAUGUCCUGGUUCUAAGAAGGAAAACAGUGGUAGGUACAAGUUCUAGAAGGUGAACAGCACUAGAUUUCCAUUGGGCCUUAAAACUGUUUUCUAAAGUAAAGCACAGGCUGGUUUCUGAUGUAUCCAGCAGGUGGUUACUGUACCACGUAGAACAGUGAGGGUUCCUUGGGCUUUAGUUGCAUAUGGCAUCCUAGGAAUGGACAUUUCUACUCAAAACUGAAGGAGUUGUUUCUUCCAGACCUUAGGAGAAGGGUUUAAACCAAUGUCACAUCUCCACUCUGCCCACUUGUUAGCUGUCUGACCUUGGGCAAGUCAUCGUCUACAAGCUUUCAUUUCUUCCUGUGUAAAACAGAGGUGGUGAAAUUACCUCUCUGAGGUAGUCAUAUGAGAUACUGUUGGCACCCUUAGUAAAUGUUUAAUAAAUCUCCGUUGCUGCCAAUGUUAACAAUAUUUUCUAGAAGUCUGUAAAUACAUCUACCAGAACACUUUUGUUUAAACACCUUAAACUAACAAAAGCUGCAGAAAAAAACCUUUUGCCCGUUAGAUCUUGUCUUGAUUGGACCGUCAGACUUUGCCAAAACACUUUGCAAAGACAUUACCUUAAUUGAUCGGAAUAGCCGUGUGCCGGGAAAACACAUCGUCUCCAGCCAUUGUUUGUCGAGUGGCUGUGAUGAUCUCUGGGAAAGGGACAGCCAGGGGCAAAGCUGGGCCGUCUUGGCAAAGACUGGAGGGUCUUGAUGUUUCUCCAAAUCUUGUAACAAGGAGUGAGCCAGAACUUUCUUUCAACGGGUAAAAUUGCUUUUCCAAGCUGGUGAGCCAGAAUUGCUUCCCUGAUCCAUUUGUUUUUUUAAUUCUCUCCCACUUGAUGUUGGCACUCUGCAGAAUCCGGAGCACGUCAUUAUUAUACAGACGUCAUUGGGAGCUUAGCGGGCGCUGAUCAACCAGCGUGAACUCAGAGGAAACCAUGUCCCCAAGUCAGCCCCAAAUUACAGCCCUUGGCAGUGUUUCCAGCCAAAAGAAGAUCAUGUAAUGUUAUAGAAUUCCCUUCCUUCAUUCGAUGGUGGACGUCAGUGUGAGGUCAGGAACUUUAUCUGUCUUUGAAUCCACUGUCCUUCCUCUCGCAGCAUAAGGAAUCAACAGUGGCUUGUUGGUUAAUGGAAAGAGCAAGUGAACAAAUGAUGCAGUCUCUCACCAUCUUUUAAGACGAGAUUGAGAAGCAUGUACAAGAAAAUAAUACAGGCAGGAAGAUCCAUGGCAUUUGAGCAUCAUGAUGAAUGAAAUGGAUGGAUGUCACCCCUGAACGAAGAAACCCAGGUACCAGAGCCAAGGCUCUCUGCCUUUCAACAUCAUCAUCCGCAGCUGGACAAAAGGGGGAGACGGGAUUAUGACAGGUGGAGGUAAGAGCAGGCGGCCCACCCCUGACCAGGGUCCCCCCCGAGCAGGGUAUCCCAAGAGCCCAGCCACACACCCCCGGGGCCCCCAGGCCCCAGGGAGAACCAAGGACUAGAGUACUGCGCAGAUACUAACAGAAAAGUGGAAAGCUUUGACAACCAUUUAUUUCAAAAAAUCCUGGUGACUUUAAUCCCGAGCUCAGUGCGAGGUAACCAAGUGACAAGGAUUCUUAACAUCGGGAAACAGUUUCUGAAUCUGAUUUUCCUCCAGUCUUACAUGUUCCUUACCUCAGAGGCUGCAGUCAAGAAAUGUACUGGAAACUCCAAAAAGGAAAAGAACAGAAAGAAAAAGACAUAUGGGAAAGAUAAAGGAGGUCUACAGAGUUUAAUCUGUCACAGCCAAAACCACAGUCUUAGUAUUCCACCAAAGAAAGAGGAGGUGAAUUGAAUGAACUGUGGCUGGAGGAAUCCAUGCAGUGCUGGGCAGCCUUUAAAAGAUACGGGAAAACGUGGCUGAUGGGACGAGCUAGUCUAGCUCUCUCCUCUCCAAACCCCAUUAAAAUGAAUAAAAAGCAUGAGUCCACUACGGCAAAGAGACGGGGAGAAGUAACAAGGACAGUUGUCAGUAGACACUUGGAGCUAGGAUGAGUUGAUGGAGCUAAAUUCCUGGCAAAGCAGAAGAAGUUGAGCGGUGCAGGCCGGGCGGAGAGGCCAUCGGAGGAGGCCCGGCCUCCACGAGACUCGGGACAGUGGGCGUGAGUCCUCUGCACGGCAGUGGGCAGGAGAGCUGCUGACCAAGGACGGGCUGUCUGGCUGUGAAGCAGCAAGGCCUCCAGGCCCUACCCUGCCACGGACAGCCGCAGGUCUGCCCGUGAUAUAAGGGAAAAGAAUCUGAAAAAGAAUAGAUAUAAAUAUAUGUAUAACUGAAUCACUGUGUUGUAUACCUGAAACUAACACAACAUUGUAAAUCAACUAUACUUCAGUUUAAAAAAAAAAAAAAAAGGAGAGAGACUGACUCUAGGACGUCAGGGAGCAGUGAAGCCCAGUGCUGCAUGAGAGCCCAGGCCUUUCCACUGGACCCUACUCUGCAAGGCCAGCUGCCACCUGCAGGCAGGAAGCUGGAAGAGAGGAUCCUACCAAUAUGGACAUUUGGGGAUCCCCCAGUGAGCCCACCAGAUUUCUUCCCACGCGGAAUCCCAUGAGUGUCCACAGACGCUGUCCACAGAAACACACUUAAUCAGGAUCAGUUGGCCAAGCAUCACCAGAAAUUGAGGCAAGGUCAGGAUGUGACAGCCAAGAGGCCAAGACAAAGAGAGAAGAAAGGAACUUGGAGAAAAAGUGUGGAUAACAAAAGAAAAUGAAAAUAAAGACACUUUCUGUUGAAUUAUAGUUGAUUUACAAUGUUGUGUUAGUUUCAGGUGUACAGCAAAGUGAUUCAGUUAUAUAUAUAUUUUUCCAGAUUCUUUUGCCAUAUAAGAUAUUACAAAAUAUUGAGUGUAGUUCCCUUGUUGUUUAUCUAUUUUAUAUAUAGUAGUGUGUGUACGUUGCUUCCAAAUUCCUAAUUUAUCCCUCCCCACCGCCUUUCCUCUUCGGUAACUGUAAGUUUCUUUUCUAUGUCUGUGAGUCUAUUUCUGUUUUGUAAAUAAGUUCAUUUGUAUCGUUUCUUAGAUUCCACAUAUAAGCGAUAUCAUAUGAUAUUUGUCUUUCUCUAACUUACUUCACUUAGCAUGACGAUCUCUAGGUCCAUCCAUGUUGCUGCAAAUGGCAUCAUUUCAUCCUUUUUUUAUGGAUAUUUUUAAAGAUAUAAAUUAAUAGCCUCAGAGAAGAGAAUGUAUCCAGGAAACAUACAUGAAGCUAUUUCAAAAAGAUAUAACAAGAAAGAGCACUUGGAAAUUAAAAAUAUAGUAACUGAAAAUUUAAAAACCAGAAGAGUUGGAUAAUGAAAUAAAGGGCAUUUCUAAGAGGGGGGGGGGAAUGUUAAUUAGUCAAGAAUAUUCAAAUAUGACACAAAUGGGCUUCCCUGGUGGCGCAGUGGUUGGGAGCCCACCUGCCGACGCAGGGGACACGGGUUCGUGCCCCGGUCCGGGAGGAUCCCACAUGCCGCGGAGCGGCUGGGCCCGUGAGCCACGGCCGCUGAGCCUGCGCGUCCGGAGCCUGUGCUCCGCAACGGGAGGGGCCACAGCAGUGCGAGGCCGGCGUACCGCAAAAAAAAAAAAAAAAAAAAUGACACAAAUGAACUUAUCUAUGAAACAGAAACAGACUCAAAGACGUAGAGAACAGACUUGUGGUUGCCGAGGGGAUAGGCAGGGAGAGGGAUGGACUGGGAGUUUGGGGUUAGCAGAUGCGAACUAGUAUAUAUAGGAUGGAUAAACAACAAGGUCCUACUGUAUAGCACAGGGAAAUAUAUUCAAUAUCCUCUGAUAAACCGUAAUGGAAAAAGAAUAUAAAAAAGAAUGUAUAUAUAACUGAAUCACUUUGCUGUCCAUCAGAAAUUAACACAACAUUGUAAAUCAACUGUAUUUCAAUUUAAAAAAAGAAUAUUCAAGAAAGAUUAGAAAAUUGAUUUAGAACUUGCAGCGUUCAACUAAUUGGAAUCCAGAAAGAAAGGAGAAAAGAGAAGGAAGAAAAAAAUCUUUGAGGAAGAGUACUAGAACAUUCUGCAGAAUCGCAGGCUGUACGGGUGGCUGGGGUCCGUGGAUGACCCAGCAGAGGGUGAAAGCAGCCUCACCCAGGGCAUGCCACGAUGGUCCAGGGCUCAAGGAGUGAGAAGGUGCUCAAGCCUGUGGAAGGAAGGAAGACAGCCAGCCAGCCUGGGGUCGGGGUGGGGGUGGGUGUCCCCGCUGCAGGGUUGCAGGCUGGAAGACAGUGGAGUGAGAGCUGAGCAUGCUGAGAGAGCUUUCCGGUGUAGACCUCACAGGUACCAUGCUGACUGCUCAGUGUAAGAGAACACAAACAUUUUUAGGUUUUCAAGAUCUCAGAAUUUUACCCCAUACCCAUCUUGUCGCAGAAAGCUGAUAGAAAGUGCCCCCCUAAAAUGAAGAAGUGAAUUUUUAAAAGGCAUAGGAUCCAGGAAGCAAAGGAUAAAAAAAUCUGGGUAAAGGAAUUUCCAGGAAACUCAGUGAGAAGAAAAAGUAAGAAAACAAAUCAGUUGUCAAGUUCAGAGCAAACGGAAGUUCAUCUAGAAAGAAAAUGUCGUCAACAUACACAUUAUAUGUCUCGGCCGCAGAAAGUUGCUCUUGAAGAAGAUUUCCGUUUUCAGAAUUAUAAUGUCUAUUAUAACUCUAUAUGGAUAACUAAAUAGUGAAUGUUAAUUUGAACAUCGUGCUCUAACGUUUUUUCAAAGACUGGGGAGGAAAAGUAUGUGUGGGGUCGUGUGUCUGUGUGUGUGCCUGUGUCUCAAAGAACUUCUGGAGUAGGAAGCCAAAAUCUAACAUGGGAAAAGUCAAGAAACAGCAGAAUAAGCUCAUUAUGUAGAAAGACGGAAUAAAUGCUAGACGAAAAGUAGUUUGAAGUGGCUGCUGUUGGAGUGGGCUAGGAGCUGCGGGUUUGACUCUCAGCCUUGUGGAACUGUUUGCCUUUUCAUGUCCAUGUUUUGCAUAAAACAUGGAAUUUUAAAGGUAUAGGAGGUGGUUAUAAUGCAUUGUGGUAGAAGGAUAGAAAAAAUAUGACUUUUAAAAGAAAACAGAAAGACCAGAAAAAUGUAUGCCAAUUGCUAGUAGUUAAUCCGAGUGUCAAUUAAGGGAUUUUUUUUCCUUCCUUUUAUAAUUAAAAAAAAAUUGCAAUAGAUAUGUAUUACUGAUGAAGUUGUAAAAGACCUUUUACACACACAGAUGCACGCACACGCACACGCACACGCACACAGAGCAGCAGGUCCGGCCCAGAAGAGGAGGUUCCCCUCCUUGGGAGGAGGAGACACGCACUCCAUCCACUGCGAGCCUGAGCUGAUAAACCAAGGAGCUCCAAGAGCAGGACUCGAGGCCCAGCAGGUGGUGUUGGCAGCACCCCUCCCAGGACGAGCACUUGAAGGACCAGGGCCUCCUUGGACCUGGAGGGCCGAGGCUGCUGUAAGCCCCCCAGGGGGGAACCAAGCACAGGCAUCUUAUCGUCCCUUCCACAUCCUCUGCAGGUGGCGCAGUGCUCUUUACAUGCAGUUUCAUCAGUGAGGGUGGAUGCAGGAAGGCUUUGUCCGUAGUGCAGAGGAGAGGGGCAGUUUGCGCUCUUUCAGGAACAGACCUGGAAUCAGUGAAUCCAGCCUUGCAGACAAAACGGAUUUCCCCUUCAACAGUGAGACCUGCUGGAUCCUAACAAGCCGCCUUUAGAAGCUGUGCCUCUGUCAUUGCUGAGUCUCCCGGAGGAGCUGGGUUUCCGUGCUGGGUGGGAGCGUGGUGUCCCAUAUGCCCAUGGGCUGACAAACCCACUGCGGCUCUGGGUGCGGGGCGGUCGGCCUGUGGACAGUUGCUACCCUGGCUGUGGGGCCAGGAGAGCGAGAGAAAGGCCAGGGGUAAGGCCAGAGAUGCCCUCUGUCCUUCCUCUGCAGGAACACACCGUGGGGCCCCUGGGGAAGCUUCCAGAAGGAAUAGUUCUUCUUUGCAUUUAAGUGAGAGCUCGGGAUCCCCUUUCUCAUAGUUAUGCUGAGGAGAGAUUUCCAAGUCUUCUGAUUUGCCUGGAGCCCCGAGGAAAUACGGGGCAGAGCCCCCGCCUCCCGCCACCUAGGGGUCUUGGGGGCCAUCUCUGAGCAUCCCCGGACCCCCUCAGGGCCACUCCCGGGCAACCAGCAAGGGGACCGGCAACCUGCCAGCCCUCCUCGGGGUACCCGUCUCGCCGGCCAGCUCCUUCACUUGCACAGCCCCACUCACACUGACUGUUUGUCCUCCCUUGUGCUUCACAGGUGUCUCUGGGGUCCCAGAUGGACCUACAGAAGAAGAAGAGGCGUGCACCAGCUCCCCCUGCGCCCCAGCCCCCGCCGUCCAGCCCGCUGGUGCCCCCCCGCACGGAGGACAGGGAGGAGGACCGGAAGGGCAGGACGGUUUAUUGCUGUGCAUCAUUCCCUACCCAUGCCAAGCGCUUCUGACGGACGGCCCCUUCCUGGAGCUCCGUACCUCUGACUUUUCCCUGUGCCUCUGCUGUCCUGACUCUGGUUCUCCUGUUGGUCUUCCAUCUGUCAGCAUAAAAGAGCUCAUUUGUACACCCGCAACUUACUUUCUUUAGAACUUACAUAUGAAUGCAUAAACAACAGAGAUCUGCCUGACCGAGGUUCAUAUUUCCUUGUAGGAGGUGAAGACUCUUCUGUAUGUAAAUUCUAGGUUGCUUAUACUGACCUGUCUGAAAUUCCUCUUUCAUUGAUACGUGGAUAUGUUUUUAUUAAGAACCUUGCUUUAUUUGAAUUCAUUAUUAAUUCGUAUUUUUCUUGUUUGAUAUUCAGAUACAGAAUUUCUUCUCCAUUUUCCUUUCAACAAGAUGGUGUCUAUAAAUUGACCAGCAAGGGCAAUGUGGAUAGAACUGAAAUAGUCUAUCUUCCUGGUAAAACUAAGUGCCUAAGCCCAGGAACUAUAAAUAUAACCUGUAGGGACCCACAACUCAGGAUCCAUAGGUAGCCAUUCAAGAUAUGUAGGCUAUAACGUUUCUGCAGAUGUUUUCCAGGUUUUCCUAUUACUGUGUCCCCUGCCAUUUAGAGAGUUUAUGAGAAGAAAACAGAGGAAGAGGAGCGUGUGUCUCACUUUGUUGAUUCACCAAACACGGGGUGCUUGCUUGAUGCUAGGGGGCUGUGGGGGCUGUUAGAGUGAGUAGCACAUGACCUCUGCCCAUGGCUUCUACUUACCAUGACUGGCUCGAGGAAAGAAGUAGCGAUGGGUCCAUUUGAUAAAUGCUAGUCCGGAGGUUUGUACGAGUGGAACAUAUGCCCAAGGGUGUAGCUACCAUGUCCACGUAGGGGUGUUGCCUGCUCUUCCUAGAGACUAAGGUCCUUCUCCCAUCUUGAGAAAACGGACACAGUCACUGAGAACCGGUCACCGCAGCAGUCCUAAGACAGAGCAGGUGAAAAUACUCAUGGGAAGAUUCAGGGUUUAAGAAGAAAGACUUGCUUGCUUUGAUACAUUUUUAUUAUUGUGCAAAGAUACAUUUGAAUUGGAGAAGCUGAUCGUGUUUCUCUCCAAAAGGUUUUUUAAAUGUUAUUGCUCAAAGUGAGAAAAAAGAUGAGUGUUUUUUACUUGUAUGACUGUUGUCUGCUUGAUCACAAUGAGGAUGGUAGCAAUAACUGAUGUAGGAAAUAUCGCAGCUGAUAUUGGUAUUACUAGUAAAUAUAAGCUAGAACUUCUAGAAAUAUAUAGCUAGAGCUGUGUAUAACCAAUCUAGUGCCAUGUGUUGGUGAAAAAAAAACAGAAAUUACUCAGGAGGAGACAUAGAACAAGUUAGAAAGUGCUUUUCUUUUGCAUUGAAAUAAAGAACUUUGUCUGAUAA